GUUGAGUUUUCAGCACCUGUAACAUUUUAAUCGAUUAAUACUUGGUUUAAUUGAUUAAAACCGUGCGUUUUUUAUUUUGAACAGAAAAUAUAAAAAUAUGAAGGUACAAGAAUCAAAUCCUACUACAAAUCUAAGUCUUAAACAUUUAAACUACAGUUAUUACAAAAGCUUUUAAUAACAAAAAAUAAGUCUUCAAAGGAUCUUCAUGAAUCUUGAUAAAUCUUGACUUGAUUUGGGCAUCAUCAAAACUUCAUCUUCAUCAUUUUGCUAACAUUCUCCCCCUUUUUGAUGAUGAUUAAAAAUUCCUUUUAUUUAAAGCUUUUGGUAAUAAUCUGGAUAAAAACACAACUUAUGGAAGAAAUGAGCAUUAGAGAAUAAUAAUAAGCUUUAAGAUAUUUUCUCCCCCUNUUUGAUCAUAAUUAAAAAGUUGUGUUUCAUGUUCUCCCCCUAAGAUAAUACCCCCCCUCAAUAAAAGCAUGUAUGCAUAAAAUAUAUUUCAAAUUUAAAGAUCCAUUCAAACAUACAUAAUAGGAGAUUUAAAACAAAUAAUUUUAGGAUAAAGAACUUUUAAACAAUCAUACCUUGAACCAUACAAGAUAGAAAUUUUAAAGAAUAAAAAAAUAUGGCUAAAUUUUAU
rnacentral:lncRNA from 1 species